GUGGAAGUAUGCCCACCUGUUACUUCACCUCAGAUGUCCCCAUGACCCGAUAGAUUGUUUCGCUGGAAGGGUAGAUAGUAUAUAAAGUAUGCUUUACCUUGUUAGCUAGCUAGCUACAUAGAUAGCACGCUGGACAGGUGGAUACUGAACUAAUAAGCUGGUGUGAAGCGUGUGCUUGUUCUCGCUGGCUGGCUGACUGAAAUGUCACUACUGAAGGAACAGAUAGGUGCUACAGUCUAAACUUAACCUGCUGCAAGUCACACACACACACAUAGUGAAGAGGUUGCAUCAUCACUGAUGGACACACGCCCUCUUGUGGACGCUUGGUGCAGCUGUUGCUGUUCAGAGGUUGUCAACCUUGAGAUGAUGCGCGCGUCAUCGUCACGUCUAAAAAAGGAC